UUGACAGUCCAGAAAAGUGAAGUUUAUCCCCAGAAAAGGAACAACAGUAAAGUCUUAUUCACUCCGCCCUAUCGUACUAACAUGCCUCAACUUUGUACCAAAAGGGAUAAGGUGAGAUGGUAGUUCAGUCUCCAUGCUCAUUCAGUCCUUGUCCUCU
rnacentral:sRNA from 1 species